rnacentral:rRNA from 1 species
AGCAGCCGCGGUAAUUCCAGCUCCAAUAGCGUAUAUUAAAGUUGUUGCAGUUAAAAAGCUCGUAGUUGAAUUUCGGGGUUAGUAGAUUGGUCAUGCCUCUGGUAUGUACUGGUCUCACUGAUUCCUCCUUCCUGAUGAACCUUAAUGCCAUUAAUUUGGUGUUUUGGGGAAUUUGGACUGUUACUUUGAAAAAAUUAGAGUGUUUAAAGCAGGCAUUUUUGCUUGAAUACAUUAGCAUGGAAUAAUAAAAUAGGACGGCAUGGUUCUAUUUUGUUGGUUUCUAGGACCACCGUAAUGAUUAAUAGGGAUAGUUGGGGGCAUUAGUAUUCAAUUGUCAGAGGUGAAAUUCUUGGAUUUAUUGAAGACUAACCACUGCGAAAGCAUUUGCCAAGGAUGUUUUCAUUAAUCAAGAACGAAAGUUAGGGGAUCGAAGACGAUCAGAUACCGUCGUAGUCUUAACCAUAAACUAUGCCGACUAGGGAUCGGAUGAUGUUAAUUUUUUAAUGACUCA